AUCUAAAAUCUUAAUAUAUUAAAUACAUAAUUCAUUUAAUUUAAAUAUUGUUCAACAUCUAAUUUUUCAUCUAAUGUAAAGUUAUUUACUCACACUUUAUACACCAACAAAUAUAAGAGUAUACAAUAUUUUUCUAAAAUAUUUCUAAUAUAUAUUGCUGUCAGCACAAGUUAGGUUUGUGUGUGAAUGGACCAAUUUUAAUUCUCGCUAAACACAUAAAUGAGAGAGUGAUUGAAGAGUUUUAAUGUAUGAUUGAUUUUGCAAUGUGAUUGAGAUGAGUUAAGCUUCUCUUGAGCAGUUCACUUCUGUAGAAUAAACAAUAUCAAUUAUUGAUGAUUAUAUAAUCAAUAAUUGAUUUUUUUUUACUUUAACAAUGAACCAAAUUUGAUUGAGAUAAUUGUGGUGAACCAUAAUUAGCAAAAUCAUGCCGUAAAACUAAAGAUGGGCAUAGUGUGACUUAACUCCAAAUUGAUGAAUAUUCUUAACUCCAGACCAAACCAUGACAAUACUCUAUUGUGCCAAUGGGGCAAAGAGCCUUGCGUUUAACUUUUUAAUAAUUUAUUUAAUUAUAUAAAAUUAUUUUUAACUUUAUAAUUAAUUUUAUAUCAAUUAACCAUGACUUUAGAGAUGAAACAACAAUGAUCUGAAAAUAUCCAAUUUGGCAUGAGAGAUCGAUGUUCUUGGUUAUGAAGAGAUUUUGACAGAACUAUACACUCCUUGAGUUCUUGGUGUAGUAAAGCCGCAGGCUCCUCUCCUUUAUUUAUUAAAAGGGUGAUUUAAGAUAAUUUUUUAAUAGAAAUAUGAUUUAAGAUACUUAACUUUUUUAUUUAUUCAAAAGAUGAUUUAAGAUAUUUUUAAAUCACUCUUUUAAAUUAUUUUAUUUAUUUAUUUUAUUUAAAUAAAUAUUUUUAUAUAUAUGUUUAAUUUUUUUUUUUUCGUAUUUUUUCUUAUGAUUUUGUCAUCUAAUUAAGUGUGACGUGGAUUUGUUCAACUUCAUGGUGCGAUGUUUUUUGUUUUGUCUAUUUUGUGCGAUGUUCAUAUAGACAAAUAAUUUAUUUUAUCAUUCAUACAUUUUGAACAAUGGACUUAUCCAUUAAACUUUGUAUUUUCUCAAUCUUAUAAAUAAUUUGUCAACACAUAGUUGAAUUGAUCAAAUUAGAGAUUACCUAUAGUCGAUAGGAGUGAACACCAAUAUUUUUAUUUUUUAUUUUUUAUGAUUGAUGACAUUAAAGAUUGUGAAUCUCGCAUUAUUCUUUACAGUCGGUUGAUGGAAAACAUUAAUUUGAUUAUUACAAUUAAGAUUUUGAUUUGAUUAAUUUUUAUUGACUUAUGUAAUUUUUAUGUGUACAGUGAAUAUAUUUUUUUGCCUUCUUAAUUGUUAAAUUUGAUUGUAUUGUUUUUAUGCAAUAAAAAAAUUAGACGGAGCAAAAAUUUGGACUUGAUGACACUCAUGCAAAUAGUUCUCCCUAUUACUUUCCUCUUCAAUUGAGUGAAUAUAUAAAUUAGUUAUUGAAAUUAUAAAUUGAGUUUUGCAAAUUGAUAAAUAUAACAUUAAAAUUGUAAAAUAUCAAUUAAAAUAAUCAAUUGAUAACCUUUUGUCAUUAGAUAUUUUAAUGUGGCACUGUAAUAGAAUAUGUGAUCUCAAAUCAAUGUCUUGUUUUCGUAAACAAAUUUGUCAAUGAAAUUUUUUCAUCUCAAAAACAAAUUUGUAAAUAACCGUAAUCAUGCAUGGACUAAUUAUUGACAAAUUAGUCUAUGAAAAAUUUAAAUUUCAUAAAAAAAAUUAGUUGAUGUUGUGAUUACAUUAAUAUGAGAUCAACGCAAAUAUUCAAUUAACAUGUCACAUUAUAACCUUUUACGAUAAAAAUUUUAAUAUGUAUUAUUUUAAUUAAUAUUUUAUAAUUUUAUAAAUAUAUUUACCAAUAUUUAAAAUUAAAUAACUAAUUUAACUUACAAUUUCAAUAAUUAAUUUACAUAUUCACUUAUUCAAUUUAAAAUAUGCCUUUUCAUUAAACUCUUUAAUAAUAACUAUUUGCCUUUUUUUUUAAAAAAAAAAAGAAUAUUUGUAGCUAAGAACAAUAAUAUAAAAGAAUACCUAGAUUUCAAACAUUAGAAACGGAUCCCCAUUGAAUACAUGAAAUCUAGACAAUAUGCCAAGUUCCCUGUGGGCUUAUCAUUGUUUAUCUAUUUUCUCUCCUAAGAGAGGGGUCCUCACUCACUCACUCACUAGGGACGUAUGGUUAUCCCCACACUCACAAACAUGAAUGGUCCACAUGUGGCCCAACUCCAUGUGUCAAUUCACCAUUUCAUGUCAUGUGACUUCCUUCCACAAUCCGCAUCCAUUCUUUUAUUUCUAAAUUCUCUCUUUCAGGAGACAUAUGUAUACUUUUUCAUUUCACUAAAUAUUUUAUUUCAUUUUUGAAAUUCUAGUACCAUAUUAGUCUAAUUCUCUAUAUCAUCAUAAGUCCAAUUUCAUCCUUAGAAUUACAAAAUAUUAAUUAAAUUAAGGUGAUUUCUUUGGUAUCUUUUAGGACAUGCAAUUGGAUAUCAAUACCCGCAAGGGAAUUCCAACAAUUUAUUUUUCCAAUACUUGAUUCUAUACUUCUAGCUACUCUUAUAUAAUAGUAAUAUAUAUUUGGUUGUUUGGGGUGGUAGAUACAAAAGACAAGCACAUACCUCCUCAAAAACAAAAACAAAAACAAAAAAGACAAGCACGUACAUGAUUUUAUGACCCGUUAUGAUGGAAUGUAGGCAUGGGAGGGAAAGGAAAUGGGAAACAGAGGAAAUUACAGAUUACUUGUAUUUAACAAUCUGCUUAACAUUGAGAGUGAAAUUGGAUGGCUUAAAAAGUGGGUUGAGAAAUUGACAUAGUAAGAUGGUACUUGAUUCCAUCAGUUAAUGGUCGGAAACCGUUCUUACUUCUUAAUCACCUUAUCUUAAUGUAGGAAUAGUACCAACAUUACACAAACUCCUCUUAAUUUGUUUUGUUCUUUUAAUUUGGAUGGAUAAGUAUUUAAGGUUUUCUUUUUGCAAAAAUUUCUAUUGUGUGUUUAGGCAAACAAAGAAAUUUAGUGGCCAAAGUCCUUCAUAAAUAUUGGUUGUCAUUAUUCUUCACUUGCAUAAACUUGAUUAUUCAUUAUUAGAUUGAAAGUUACUAUUAUAAGAAAUAUACAUAUUUAAUCUAAAAUAAGUGACAAGUAAAUGAGGUACAUCAAAUUCUAACUCGUUUAAUCCUUUUAAAAUGAAAAAUCUAACUCAAUUCAUAAAUAUUCGUAAAACGUUAAUUUUAAAAUAUUAAUGAUAUAUAAAAUAAUUUAAGACUAAUAUAAUUGUCUAUGUGAUAAUAAUUUUCAAUCUAUUAAUAGAUUUUAUCAUAUGAAUAGACGAUAAAGAUUAACACUAAAGUGUCAACACACACACACACAUAUAUAUAUAUAUAUAUAUAUAUGUUUUUCUGUUAAAUAAUUUGUCUAAUCAUGUUUUUCUGUUAAAUAAUUUGUCUAAUUGUUUUGAUAAGAGUAUAGUGUUUAAAAUUUUGUAUGUGUCUAAUUGUCUAAUUUUAUUUUUGGUCUUAAACUUCUAGUUUAUAGAAGAAAGGACAUUGCUAAUUAAGAGUUAACCUUUAUUCGACUUUUAGUAAAAAAAGAUUGAUAGAGAGUGUCUUUGAUGUGACAUCAUUUUUAAGAAUUCAAUUUUUUUACACCAAAAUCGAAAUGCAUCUUUAAUUUUGUAUUAAAGAAUAUUAGCGUUACAUACUAUUAUUUGUGUUCGAAAAAAUAGAAAUAAAAAAUAUAUUCAUCUUUUCUCUAUGUGAGUUUUUUUCUUCUCAAUUCGAUAUAAAGUAUGCAUGUAGCUUGGACUCAUUGAUAUACUUAGGAGGAGUCUUACUAGAUGCAAAUAUAGAUGUAUUUAUUUUGUGCUUAGGGCAACAAGAAACAAAGGUACAUCAUUUUGGCAAGUGUGACGUCUCUUUGCUUUUCUAGUAUGAGGUGUUAAAUGGGACAUCUUUUGGUCAUGUCUAAGAAUUUACUACCAUUGACUAGAGACUUUAGAAUGAGUGUAUUUUUUUGAACUUGACUCUUAAUGCAACAACUUUGGAACAGGGUAUUAAGGUAAUGCGAAAAUGAGUUUUGUUAAAGUCUAAUGUAUGGGUGUGUUUGUAUAUAUUACUGAUGUUGCUCUUUGAUGGAAAUAUAUAUAUAAUUAAAGAAGUUCAAAGAAUAUCUGAGUCCAAAUAGUAAAAUGACACAAGAAGAUAAAUUGUAAAUAUACAAACAAUUAAGAAAAGAAAGGCUACAAAAGCUAGGAAAACGAAAAGAAAAAUCAACAACAAAAAACCCUUCCUACCAAACAAAGUAGGAGAAAUAGAAGCAGACAUCUUCGAGCGAAGCAACUCAAAACAAUCGGCUAACAAACAAGCGCAUAUUGAUCCACUCCGACCAACACCCCAACCUUUAUCGCCCGUGCACAAAAUAGGUUAAACAACUUACUUAUACAAAGUACUAGAGUGGCCAAAAGCCUUACCUAAAAACCAUUUCCUUGAGGAAAAGUUUAUCUCGUCCACCAGUUGUUCAACAGUCAUUGUCUUUCCAUAGAAGACAAAAUCAUUACGAGACUUUUAGGUAUACAACACAAGCAAUCAUAUCAUGAGGUAAUGACAACUCCCACCCAAACCACCUAAAAAUAUUAUACCAAACCCGAAAGACAAAAUCACAAGUAACAUCGACUCCAUUCCAAAACAAACAAAUGAUGGGUUGCCUUCAUACAUGAACCACAUAAAACUUAUGUGACACCCAUAGAUUCUAUGAUAGCCCUCUGUCACAGAAGGUUAUGUUGAGUAGGUACCAUAUCUUGGUGUAAUAUACAUGAGAAGGCAACAUCCUUACAUAGAGCCCAACUCUUCCAAACCUUGACCAAAAUUUGGAUAUCAGCAUUGGAACAACUUCCCACACUCUAGAAGGCUUUUGGAUGCAAUGAAUAAGUCGUGCUUCCAAGUUCAUGAAUCCUCAAUUAAAGAGAGAGUUAUCUUAUGCAGAAUCACUACUAGAAAAACUUAUUUCAGCUGUCAUAGUUAGCGUCGGCCCCCGACCCAAACGCUAGUUAGCGUCGGUUUAACGUCAGUCAAGCGCGCGCUAGUAUGCCAAAUAUUUUUAUUUUAUUUUAUUUUAUUAAUAAUUAGCGUUGGAUUAGUCGAUGCUAAAUAAAAUAUGACAGACACUAGUUUUUUUAAGUCAGCAUGUUAGCGUCGGAUUGACCGACGCUAAAUUGUCUGAUUUGUAAAAAUAAUUUUUUUAAUCUUAUUUGAAAAAUUAAUAUUAUUUUUUCCACUAACCCACUCCACUCAUACCUCGUCACCUUAUCACUUUCGUCACCCACUCUGAACCCUCUCGAACCCGUCACCCACUAUGUCUUCGCCGUCAAUCUCGCCCUCUCGCUGCCUCAACGUAACUCUCACCCUUUUGUUGCCGCAUCACCGUUUCCCUCACCUCACACUCACUCUCACGGCUUCACCCUCACUCUCGUGACUUCACCUUUACCUAGUAGAAGGUGUUCUGCUAAAACUGUUUCAAAUGUUGGUCUUUUCUUUUUCCUAUUUCUCUUUGGAAAAUUGUUGGUAAUAAUAAUAACAGCGUUAAUUGCAGUGGUUUAAAUUGUAAGUGUUUUGAAUGUUUGAAAGGUAAGAAAUUGAGUAGAGAUUGCAUUGGUUUUUUUGAUUUGGUUAGUGGUUAUGAGAAUUUAAGAUAUGUUAAAGCAAAAACUAAAAAUGGUUUUUUGGUUGAUGAUGUUUUAGCAUUAGGUGGAAGUGGUGGAAUUAGAAUAGGGUUUGAUAUUGGUGGUGGUUAUGGAUCUUUUGCUGCUAUAAUGGUUGAGAAAAUUGUUGAUGUGAUUACCAAUAUCUUAAUGUUGAUGCACCAUUUAGUGAAUUCAUUGCAGCAAGAUGGCUUUUUCCAAUUUACUUAAGCUUAGAUCAUAUGUUUCCAUUUUAUGACAAUGUGUUUGAUUUGAUUCAUGCUUCAAGUGCAUUGGAUGUGUUGAGGGAAACCUGAAAAGUUGGAGUUUUUAAUGUUUGACAUCAACCGAGUUUUGCGGGCAAGUGGUUUGUUUUGGCUUGAUAACUUCUUUUGUGCUAGUGAAGAGAAGAAACAAACUUUAACAAGGUUGAUUGAAAGGUUUGGAUAUAAGAAGUUGAAAUGGGUUGUCGGGGAGAAGGUUGAUAGUGUGGGGUUGGGAAAAUUGGAAGUUGUGUUGUCGGUUGUUCUUCACAAACUUGUUAGAGGUUAAAGGUUUUUAGGCAGUUAAACAACAAAUAGCAACAAGUGAGUGAAUAAUUUUGAUUCUGAUAUAUCUCUUUCGCACCUAAUUUGUGCGAAGGAAUCAUUUUUGAUAUCAUCAAGUCCUAUAAGAAUUGUUGCCUUGCCAAUUGUAGACCAACAUUUUAAGGUGACAUAUAUGAUUCCUGCAUUUUAAGUUAUAUUCUUUAUCUUGUUGUGUAUUUUUGUACUAGAUGUGUUAGUUGAUAAAUUGUUAGAAAAUGGAAAGAAAAAAAUAAUAAUGAAUUACAUUUGUUAUGUUUCUGCUUGUGAAGUUGUCAUUAUUUAUCUUACUUAUGUUAGUAUUUUCUUCGUAUUCAUAUUUGAAUCCAAGUCGUUUAACUCCUUCAAUUCUUUGAACCCUUAGCUUAAACCACUCGAGCUUCCCUGCUCCUUCAACUCUACGUGUCAUUGUUAGUUUCUCAACUGAUACAACUGCUAUUUUAGGCGCGACCACUGCAUCCAAUUAAGUGAUAAUACCUAAUUACCUACCAAACAAGAAUGUGAUCAUUGACUUGCAAAUCUAUUUUCUUGUUGAACCUACUCAUUGUUCUAAACCAAGAUUCUGAUUAGUCAACUCACAAGAAUGUAUGAUUGCUAACAACGUGUUUUGAUAUUAUAAAUAAAGUUGACUUUUAUUUUACUGUAGCGUUGGUGUCUUUGACGCUAACUAUUUUAUUGACUACAACUUGUUGACUUUAGCGUCGACCAUUCAACGCAAUUGAAGUUUUUCAAAUGACGUGUCACCGGAUAUAACUAGCGUCAGAUGCUCUAUUCUUAUUUGCAGCGUCAACUAAGAGUGGGUAUGGUCGACGCUAAUAUAACAUCACAUGACAUUUAGCCGACGCUAUAUAUUAACUUCGAUUGUUUUAGCCUAGGCCCGACACCGAUGCUAAAUCAACGUUAGCGUCGAUUUUUGACCUAUUAGCAUGAGAUUUUGACUGACGUUAAAUUCAACUUUUCAAGUAGUGAAUAGUGACCAAUUAUCCAAUAUAUAUAUAUAUAUAUAUAUAUAUAUAUAUAUAUAUAUAUAUUAUUUACAUUGUUUAGUUUGUUAACUAACUAGUUAAUAUUAUUGUUAAUUAAUUAGUUAUUAUUUUAUACUAGUUAAUUAUUUAUUUAAUUGACUAUAUAUAUUAUAUUAAUUAACUAUUGUACUUAUAUAAUUAAUAUGUCCUAAUAAUAUCCUACUCCCAGACAAACAAACCUCCCCUCUAUAUCAACUUCCAAAUAACCCAUGUUACUAAAGUCAAGUUGAUUCAAAAAUUUGAAAAAGUCUUUGAAAUUGUAUUUGUAAGGACAAAUUCUACUGAUCAUUGUGCAUGGAGUAUUAGACAUAUUUUACAUUUACUUUUUCUUAUGAGCAACAAUCAAUUAAAAAAUAGUACAAAUGGGGUAUUUGAGUUAGUCUCUUGAACUCUGUUCAUAUCCAUAAUAUUCAUAUUUUGCCGUUCAAAAAACACUAAAAAAAGAUAUAGAGUAGGAUGGGCUAAAAAAUACCAAAGAUAUUUUUAUAAGAAAAACAUAGUUGGACCCAUUAUAAAAGCCUAAAGUUAAUCACCAAAGAAAUUGUGUAGAUUCUAGUUGUUGGUAAUAAGAUACGAAAUAAGUUGUUAUCAAUCAUCUUUUCAAAAAAAAAAAUGAAAUUACGAAAUAAUUAAGAGUAAGGAAUACGGGGGUCGGUGGCCCCAAGCCAUCAUCUAUGAAGGACACAGUAGCCUGUGCAACAACAGCAUAUAUAACAGUGACAUUUAUUACCCUCCAAUUCAUCACUCUUCACUCUUUGCUAUACCAACUUUUUAUUUUACCAUGCAAAAUUAAUUAAUUAUUUAAAUUUAAUUUACAUAUAUUGAUAGAAAUAAAAAAAAUAUUUUAUAUUACCAGUCUAUCAUAUUAUUAUUUUAAAAAUAAUAAUUAUAUAAAUUAAAUAUUUUUAAAUAUUAAAUAAUUGUGAUUUUAGUAUAUAAAUUAAAUUCUAAUUAAUUUUCUAUUACAAAUUAAACGAAGAUAGAGAUAUUGUUAUAUUAUAUGCUAGGGGCCUAUGGGUGGACAAGCAUGCAUGUAAAUUAAGUAUAUAUUUUAUUUAUUUAUUUAUUUGUUUAUUUAUUUAUUCAGAUGACACCAAAUGAUUGAGGAAUAUAACAAGAGAGAGUAGCUAAAUUUUAUGCACAACAAAACAAUAGCCAGAAGAUAAAUAGGUAUGUACACAAAUACAGAGUGAAUAUUAUUGUUUUCUUCUCCUCGUCUCUUCAUUAAGAUCCUUUCUUCUUGGUUCCAUUUGAGUCUUCUUCUUUUUUUCUUCUUAUCACAAGAGAAAAAUCAAACAUAUAUAUAAUUCAAGGUCCUUCUUAAUUUCUUCUUCUUCUUUUUUUUUUUUUAAUUUAAUUUAACCUCUUUUAAUUUGUUAUCUUUCCAUGAGACAAGGAAACAUGUUAUUGAAUUUUUUUUUUCUCUUUUAGUAUAAGGAUUCAAACAAAUAUUUGAUAGGUUUAACUUUUAGUUCAACAAUUUUCAGAUUGCAAAAUAAAUAUGGCGGCUGCUUCCUCAUCUACAUCAUUUUUGGGAAUAAGAGAAGAAAAUCAAAGUCAGAUAACAAAUCUUCAUCAUCUUCACCAUCAUCAAUCCAUCACUACUUCUGCUACUUCAUCAGCUCCUCCAACAACAAUUCCUCCAAAGAAAAGAAGAAAUCAACCUGGAACACCAAGCAAGUAGCUUAAUUAAUUAGUUUAUAAUUUUAUUACUUAAUUAGAAACACACACACAUGCACACACCCUUUACUAUUUUUUUUUUUUUGUUAUAUAAAAACAAAGAUAAUGAAAACCCUAAAUCAUGAAUAUGAAUUAGAGUUAUCAAUUCCUUUUACUAAAAAAUAUAAGAACUAUAUGAUUGGAGUGCAUGCAAUUUCCUCCAAGUUUAAUGAUUCUCAAAAUCAUGAGACUUUAGGUUUUAUUAAUUUUUUAAUGAUUUUUCUAACUUCUAUUUUUUUUUACUACUAUUAGAAAUUUAGAAUGAGUAUAUGGCUUUUAAAAUGUAAAAAAGAGAGUGAGGUAGUUCUUCAGUUCAUGGUGCAUAUUCAAUUUUAGCAAGUAAUUAAAUCAUACAAUUUAAUAAUAUUUUGCUUAAAAGAAUAGUUUUAUAAUAUUAAAUCAUAAAAUAUUAAUUUGUUGUUUGGCAUUUUUGAUGGUAAAAAGAUCCAGAUGCAGAGGUAAUAGCACUAUCUCCGAAGACACUAAUGGCAACAAAUAGAUUUAUAUGUGAGGUUUGCAAUAAAGGGUUUCAAAGGGAGCAAAAUCUUCAACUUCAUAGAAGAGGACACAAUCUUCCUUGGAAGCUAAAACAAAAGUCUAACAAAGAGCCAAAGAGAAAGGUUUAUUUGUGUCCUGAGCCCACUUGCGUCCAUCAUGAUCCUUCAAGGGCUUUAGGAGACCUAACUGGCAUCAAAAAGCACUACUCUCGUAAGCACGGUGAGAAGAAGUGGAAAUGUGAAAAGUGCUCAAAGAAAUAUGCUGUUCAAUCUGAUUGGAAAGCUCAUUCUAAGACUUGUGGUACUAGAGAAUAUAGAUGUGAUUGUGGCACCCUCUUCUCAAGGUAAUUCAUUCAUCAUCAACUUUAUACAUCUCACUCUUUCUAUUAUUAUAAUUCCCACAAAUUCAAUGUAAAAUCAUAUAAGUAUAUUCAUCAUUAUAAAAGUUAGGGUUCCUUAAGGUUUGGUUUUUGAUUACUUAUAGUUAACUAUUUUUUAUAAAUGGCAUAACAAAAUGUAAACUAAGUUUUUUUAUUCAUAUAAACUAAAUAUUUUUUUGGCAGCUUCUUCUUCAUGUAUCUGAGUUAGAGUACUCUAUAUACUCUUUAAUUUAUAAAUAUAUUUUUGCAUUUAAAAUAAUAUAUAUAAUAAGUUGAAAACUAAUUUUGAUAAUAAAAUACAAGUAAAAAACAGAAAAGUAAAAUGUGAACAAGAGCCACAUUUCAUUUCUUAUCCCAAAAAAAGUGAACAAGAGCUUUCAUCCUUUCCCUGUUAGUUUGUGUUUGGGUGUUAGUGGAGGUGUAUAUUGUAUGGCAGGAAGAGACUGCAUGCACGUGAGUACACUGUUCAAAUAUAGUACAAAAAUUGAAAUGUUUUGAGAAAGGAAAAUAAAAAUUCAACUUUGGUUAUUGGGAACAGUGUCCAUAUAUAUAUAUAUACACACAUAGAUAUCCUUAUUCCCAUUCACGUGUAGUGUAACAACAUUAUAAGGGUAGUGAUACUGGGUUUGUUCUCACAUGAGUUGGAAUGGAAGUGUUGGUUUUUGUUUUUUUUUUUUUUCUUCUUGUUGGCUAUUUGUAGUGGUUCAAAUAAAUUUUCAGGUACUUUCUUGCAAUGGGUCCAAUUGGCCUAAUUAAUUCUCUUCACUGGCUCCAUAUUCCUUCAAUUUUUAAUUACUAAAACAAAUUCUCUUCAUUAAUUGGCCAAUCUAUAUAGUCAUGUUUGUUUCUCAUAGAUUUGCUAGCAAUUAUUUUGAUAAAUAAAUUCUCUUGGUAGAAUAUAGACAAAUAUUGAGGUUGCUAGCAUUUAUUGAGCUGGACCCAUAUUGGAGUUUUUGAAUAUUGACUUUCAUCAAAGUUGCAAAUAAUUCUCUCUUUUAUUGAUCAAAGAAAGACCUCAAAGUGGCAUUUUGAUUUAGAAUUCUUGGUUUGUUUCAUAUUUUGGCAUAAUCCCAUGGGCCCUCUACUUCUAUUGUAGUUUUCUUAAUUUUAACAUAGUAGUAGUUUCAAUUAAAGUCACAAUAAAUUUCAUUUCACUUAAAUCAACCUUCAUUUUCAUUUUUUACUAGUGGCUACCCGACCCAUUUUAAUUUUUUAAGUUUUAGGUUAUAGAUUAAACUAUAUCAUUUAGUAUGGUUAUUUUAUUACUAUAUUCUUAAUUUAAAUUAGGAUCAGUUUAAAUUUAAUUUUUUAAGAUUGAUUUAAAAAUUAGAUUUCUUUAAAAUUUAAAUUUGGAUUAGAUCAAAUUUGAAAUGAGGAUUUAAUUUAAUUAUUUGAUUAGGUAAAGAAGGAUAAAAUUAUAAACAAAUAGAGUUUAAGUGAUGGAUAAAAAUUGAAAACAAAAAAAAAGUUAUAUACAAAACUUGAUAUAAUGAUAUGGGUGUAGAUAUCUAGAAUAAUUGCUCUGGAAUUCAUUACCAAUAAUCCUCACAAAAAAUAGGUGACAACUUUCAUAAUCUGCAAUUUUGUUAGGUAUAUAUAGUGAUUAAUUAUUGAAAGUCACGUGACAUUUUUAUAUUCAAUUAUUUUUAAUUAUUUUUAAAAUGUGAGACUAAUUUUGCUUUAUGGACACCGCUACCCAUGUUUUUUUUUAUAGAUACCAUAUAAUUACCUACAAAUAUUUAUAUAGUUUUCUAAUUUAAUUAAUCUAAUUAUGUGGUCAUUAGUUUUUUUACAAUAUAUAGUUGAUGACUGCCUUGUGAAUACCAGGAAUAUAUAUAAUUGAAAGAAAUAUAAAGUCACAUUCUUGUCAUAAUUAAUUUAGGUCUUACUUGAUACUCCACGUGAUAAAUUCAGUUUUAUGUUUCCCUAAUUAAUUAAGGUGAAUUUCUAGAACUAUAUACAAUGGUGGUUUAAUAUGCUAGAUAUAUAUAUGAUGUGAAAGGACAUAUACAUAUAUUAAUUUGUUCCCUUAAACUUUGGUGCAGGCGUGACAGUUUCAUCACUCAUAGAGCAUUUUGUGAUGCAUUAGCACAAGAGAGUUCAAGACACCCUAACCCUUUUGGUACUCACUUAUAUGGCACAAACACAAACCACAUGAGUUUAGGUCUAUCCCAAGUUGGUUCUCAAAUCUCCCAAUUGCAAAAUCAAAACCAAACAUCCAACACUAACAACAACAUUUUGCGACUUGGAUCAACACAACCAAAGUUUGAACCCUUAAUCUCUCACUCUUCAUUAAUUGGACACUCAAUUCCAUCUUCACCAUUCUUCAUGACUGAUAUUCCAAAUCAAUCAUCCUUUGAAGAACAACAAUUCUCAAACAAACAACUACAUGGUCUAAUGCAACUUCCUGAUCUUCAAGGCAACACAAAUAAUUCUUCCAAUAUUUUCAACCUCAUGAAUAUCCAUGAACAUCAUCAAUUCAACAACAACAUUAAUACUAGUAACCAAGGAACAACACUUUACAAUAUUAACAACAACCCUCUUAUAAGUGAUCAUCAACUCUUUGUGAAUUCAAUGCAACAACAAGAAUCUCCUCACAUGUCAGCCACUGCAUUGCUUCAAAAAGCUGCUCAAAUUGGUUCUACUUCAACCAACAACAAAGGUACUUCUUUACUAAGAGGAAUGUGUACUACUUCUUCAACUAAUAAUAUUAAUGAUGAUAAUCAUAACAUUAAUGCAACUUUUGGAAGAAGUUCAAGUAUGGAGGAAAAUGAGCAUCACAACAAUGAACUUCAUGGAUUGAUAAACUCUUUUGCAAAUGGGAACACAUCCAUAUUUGGAAAUGUGCAAGGGAAUGAUAAGUUAACUUUAGAUUUUCUUGGUGUUGGAGGAAUGGUGAGAAACAUGAGUGGUGGAUUUUCAUCACAAAGUGAACAACAUGGCAUCAAUACUACGAGUGUGGUAUCUUUGAAUGCUGACGUAAAAUUACCACAUUCGAAUCAACGUUUUGGAAGUUCAAAUAUGAUGCAAUGAGGAAAAAGCAAGGUUAGGGUGAGAGAAAAAUAUUGCUUGUUCUAUGUGAUUAAGUAAGUACUAAACAUGUUUAAAGCUUUUUAUUUUAUUUUUGUUUCCUUAAAAGAAGUGUACUUAAUUAGUUUAUUGUUAAAUUAGGGUUCCAAUUCUAGAAAUUUUAGUUACAAUAUUUGUAUUUUUGUUGAACACAUCCCUUUCCCAACUCUCGCUCUCUCUUUGAGUGUGAUGUGAUAGAGAUAUAAUAAAUUCACUGUUUCAUUGAAUUUCAUGCUAGAGCUUGAGAUAAUUAAAGUUAAUUUAAUUUAAGACGGUAAAAUGUAAAACAUAAUAUUGGUAAAUAAAGCCAAGUUGUGUACAAAAGUUCACCAAACGAAGAUCGAUGUUGGCUUUCUCUUAUGUUAAGAAUCUUCACGUUUUGGCUAUAUUCCAAUGGAAACGACAAAGCCUCAUUUCCCUUCAAUUUCAUCUUUGUUUUUUAUGCGACGUACAAACUUUUAAAUUAAGCAAGAUAUUUUGUAUUGUUCACCUAAUAUAUACAUUACUUUUUUUAUAAUUUAAAGAAUGCGUUAUUAAAUUAAUUCCAAUAGUAACCAACAUUCUAAAACAAUCUUUUAUUCAUAUAGCAUGAGAUGCAUGCCGAGGAACAAUCAAUUAUAAUACUUUAAAUAUAUAUUAAAAUAAUACUGUAUUAAUUAAUAUAUAAAAAAACACUCGAAUGAAAUAAUAAUAAUAAUAAUAGUUUUUUCUCUUUCAGUUUAAUCAGAUGUCAUAAAUUCAAAUAAAUGUUUUUUAUAAUUUUAAUUUUUAUUUACAUGAUUAAAUAAAUGAUUCCAUAAGAUCGAGCCUAGAUAUAACCAAGCCCAUUCCCAUGCAGAUAUUUGAGGUGGGUUUGAAAGUUGCAUGGUGUAACUGUAAGGGUAAGGUAGUGUGGUGGUGUUGCUAUAUAUCGAUUUAGGGUUAGGUCUAACGUCAUUAUUGAACACUGCUAAGCAUGCAAUGCAAUGGAACACAAACAAUAGUGUCUGUAAAUGUUCGUUAUUGUAAUUAUUAGUAAACUUUGUGUGACACUUUUGUCGCACUCAUUUGCUUCUUCACAUGGGAAUGGAAAAUCAUCCGUCCGUGACUACCAACCAAUCUACUCAUUUCAUUUCGUCUUCUCUUCCGUACUAUUUUUCUAACUUCAAUAACUCACUCAUACAUACUUCUUAUUACUUCAUCAAAUAAAAAUUAACUUCUACCUAUAAACUUCUAAUUAAUGAGAUUAAAAAUAGUCUCUCUAUAUACAGAAUUAUACUACAUUUUUAUCGAGAAAAGUCAAUUAAAAGGGGAGUCUACAGGGGCAGUUAAAUCACUACACGAAGGUUUUGUAGAGUUAAUUUUAGAAAUUAAUCUAAAAAAGUGACAUUAAAGUGUGAUUUGAUUGAAUUUACGUGUAAAAAAAACUAUACGUAGUGCAUGAAAAUUAAUCUCGUGCUAAAAAAAAUAUUUACAAAAUUCUCUAUUUAUUUUGAAAAAUUUAGAGGAUUGUCAAUUUCACUUGGGCCACUUGACUAGGUCAAACAAACAUAUUGUGAUUAAUAUUUUAUUUUGUACAUGUGAUGUUGGGUCAUAAGAGUGGUGUCAUCACAUUAGAUUUAGAGUAAUCAUAUAAGUGAAUUAGACAUAAUAUUUUCACUCAAAAUCUUAGAAGAUAUUGAGUAAAUGAACCCUCUUAUAAAGUAAUCAAUGUUCAUUCUUUUAUUCAAUGUGAGACUUUUAUUCGCAUUUCACAAACCAACAAUCUACAUCCUUAAGUGUGAGUCAAUUCAUUCAUUUGAGUAUACUACUUCUCUAGCGUGGAAAUUUUUCUAUCUAUGUUCAUUUGCAUUGUCGUUUGCACUCAAUAUCAAUGGGACAUACCACAUCUCAGGAAAUCUUUUAACAUAAUUUGGACACACAACAUAUUUUAAUGUAAAACCAACACCCUAAUUUAUUUUUGCUUAGACAUAAAACAGCGAAUUCUGAUUAAAACUUAAAAUCUACAAGCACACAAAUUUAUGAUACAGCAAAUAUAAUGCGCUUAGAUUACUUAAAGCCCAAAUUAUAUCACUUGGGCCGGUGCUAUUGGUUGUUCUCUUGUGAUUUCUAGGCAAGUUAAUUAAGUUAUUCCAUUUUGGGUUCUGCAUAUAUUAUGAAUCUAUCAUCAUUUGACACACAAAAAAAAAAAGAGAGAGAAAAAUUUGUUUGAUUAGAUGAGCUGUUGCAAUCCUUUAGGCAAAUAAACACCAAUAAGCCUUUUGGAAAAUUAUACCCCCAUACCACUUUCAUUAAUUUAUAUUAUUACCUUCAUAUUUUAUCUAAAUUAUCCAUUUUACCCUUCAUAUUAUAAAAAAUCAAAAAACUAUUCUACCUCAUUAGAUGCAAUUUGUAUUUUGGAAAACUCGAUUUUUGAAUUCUCAUUGUAAUUUGGAAAACUCAAAUUUUAUAUUUUAUAUUUUUGAUGAUUUUUUUAGUAAUUUUAUUAAAAUACUUUAAUAAAAUUUAAAAGACACGCAUUAAAAUUCAUCUUAGACUCCAUAUGUGUUAGGUUGGUCAUACCUCUAGUUCACUGCGUUUCAGAAUUCGGCAUAUGCACAAACAAAAUACGGUAUUGAUCCACAUACAAGAAAUUUCAGCAAUAACCUUUUUAUAAUAUAUUGAUCAAUUAAUUACUUAUCCUAUGAUAUUAAAGAUUAUACGUUGUCAAAGUAAAGAUAUUUUACACUAUCAAUAAAUUGAAAGUUGUCAAUAUAUCAAUAUUUAUAGUUAUGGAAUCAUUAUAAAUUAGAUAAUCAUUUCCAAUUGAAGAUAAUAUCAUUAGUUUUUUUUUAUUAAAGAAUGGUAGAGAUUAUAAGAUAUGUGUGAAUAAUUAUUUUUGAAAAUUCAAGUACGACUUUGAAGCUUCACAUGUUAAGAUAAUAUAUAAAAUAAAAAACCCAUAACAUAUUGUAAUAAAUUUUUAGUAAAGAUAGAGUGACCUGUUUUGAGUAAAAUAAAGGCCCACACUUGUCUUCCUUGUUUUUUUAGCUCUUCUAGCCCACAUAACUGGAAUUAAAAUUGACUUUUUUUUUUUAAAAGUAAAUCAAUGUAUCUCUCGCGUGUAAUUUCAAAGAUUAAUUAUUCGAUUAUUUUGUAAGAAUAUUUUUUUAUUUUUAUCUUUUAAAAUUUGUGUUAACUUGUUAGCAAAGAGGAUGUGAUACUCAUGAAAUAAAUAUUUAUAUGUAUCUUUUUUUCUUAUAACUGAUGGUAAUACAAUUAUAAUUAACUCACACAACUAUGAAAGGUUUAAUAAAAAAUAUCAACAUUUGUUAGUUGAGCUAGAACUUAAUAUGUAUUUCUAAAAUAAUGAAAAUGACAUAAUUGUUUUCAUUAAUUGCAAAUUGAAUUAGAUAGAUAAAUAAAUUGAAUGACAUCAUAUAUAAUAAUUAGUAACAUAUUAAAAAUUAUUAAUAAUAAUAUGAAGUACUCCUAACAAAUAUCAAUUAUAUUUGGAACAUAUGGAAUUCCAAAAAUAAGAACUUGAAGUACAAAAGAGGAGCUAUUAUUAAUAAGAAGUUAAUUCCCUUUCUUUACCCUAAAUUAAUAAUAAUAAUACUAAGUAGUCCUAACAAAUAUCAAAUAUAUUUGGAACAUAUGAAAUUUCAAAAACACAAAAUAAUAAAAUAUAUAUUAAGUAAUAUUUAAAAUUAAAAACCAACAAUCUUAUAUUGCAACAAUGUUUAGAAGUGAUACGUACUUUAUUUUGAAAAGUAGAAGUUUUAUAUUAUAUUAUAGAUUUUGAAGACAAAAAAGAUUAUGUCCAUUAUAUAACUUUAAUCAAUAUAUUAUUUUUUUUUACCAAAAUAUUUGAUAAUAUAUAAUACUAUGAGUCAUGAAGGAUUGAGAUAAUUAUCAUUAUUCAUAGUAUAGUUACAGUUAACACAUAAGUGGAUUGAAAAUUGCAUUAUACCAAAAUUUUAUGGCAUUAAAAUUUCUCUUUUUUGAAAUGAGACUCUUUUAUUCACACUUAAUAUAUCAAUUCAAAUAUUUAUUAACUUUUAAUUGACAUACACCCAUAAUAAAUGAUACAAAAAUCAGAUUAAAAAAAUUAUACAAGAAUCACGAAAACCCUAUUAUAAUAGGCCCAAUUAAGCAUUAUCUUAAAAUAUUUUUUCAAUAUUUUGUCGAGCUACAAAAGUAGAUCCGAUCAAGAUGUCAACUAAAGUUGGUGAAAUGACGAAAAAGAUUCCCAAUUGAAGAUUUUAUUAACUUUGAUGAUGGUUUUUUUAAAAGAGUUUUUAGUGGCAAUAAGUUUACACACAUUAGACAUAGUGAAGAGGAAUAAUCCAAGUUCAAAAUUUUAGUUUUUUGAAUUUCAUACUAUUGUUUAUGAUUGUAGAGUCUGCUUAUUUUAAGGAACAUUUUUCUAUAUUUAAUAUUGUUGUUUAAUUAUAAAACUCUUAUAUCGUUUUCAAUAUCUAUUCUUUUUUUAAAAUAUUUAUACAGCAUAUGCCAAAAACCGUUUUUUAAUCAGAAAGAGGCAAAAACAAGAUUGCAUUGGUUUAGUCAUCACCUACUCCAUUGUUAUUAUUUGUAGAAAUAUUGAUAAUAGAACGUGAAAUUGUGUUCUAUCUGUCUCACAUGCAAGUGGACAAGACUAUAGGUGUCACACAAUAUGUUAUAUUAAUUAAUUUAGUAUUAUUAUAUAUUAAAGGUCAAUUAACUGAUAUACUUUUGAGUUGUAUGUUUUUUUUUCCGAAAAAAUCAACCAACAUGCUUUGCCUUUUUUCCGCUAACAAGAACGAUUUUACUCAUCAAUCAAUUUUUAAGACUAAAACUUGAGUACAAAUGGUACUCGAGGUCAAGGAACCGACAUGCAUUGUGCCUCCAAAGUCAAGACCCAAUUUAAGAUAGACAUCUGUUUUUAUCGUAUCCUACAUCUUUUUGGUUUUCCGAAAAAAAUUAAUGAAUAAUAUUAAUAACAUAUUUUUUUUAAAAUUUUGUAUUAGUUAAAAUAAAUGUGAUUUUUUUUAAAAAAUAAUUAAUUAAUUUUAAUAUAAUUAAAAAAUUUAAAACAAAACGUUUAAAUUAAUAAUAUCAGGAACUUUGACAAAUAAACAUAAAUUUUAUUAAAUUUAUAUAGGAUAUAUAAAAGUAUAUUGUUGACAUUUUUCAAAAGUGAUUGUUUAGAAUAAAAUAUGAGCAAAAUUAUUUUAUAUAUUUUUAAGUGAAAUAUAAGUAGAUAAAUCAACAAUUGUAUAAUAAUAUUUAAAAUAUCUUUUAACUAAUUUAAUUUUUUUAUUUGAGAUUAUGAGCUUAAUUUUUUAUUAAAAUUAUGUAGAUUAAAUAUAAUCAAUUAUUUUUAUGUAUAGUUUAUUUAUUUUUUAUUUAUAUUUAUAAUUUAUUUUAGAGGAAGUAUGUUUGUUAAGUACAGAUGAGAGAAAACUUUAAACUUAGAUUAUAUCAAUGCAUUCUCGAAAAUAAGAACAAAAUAAUUCAUUCAUGUAAUAUAACAACCAAAUAAUUAAAAGACACUUCGUUGAUUUUUCAACUAAUAGUUGUAAACUAAUUUCUGUAAUAAAAAAAAAUAAAAAGUAAAAAACUAAUAAUUCUGAUUUCAUAUUUACGUUUUAAAGUGAAUUUCUCGUAGAAUUUUUUUUAUCUACCGGUACUAACUAUUAAUUAAUCUAAAAUCAUGUGCACAUCUAAAGUAGAUUUGGGAAGUAAUAUUAGCUAGGUUCCUUAUUAAGAGUAUUACUUCACACAUAUUAUUAAGAAAAUCACAUAGUAUGCUAAAUUUAUCUGUUUUUAUUGAAAGUAUAUGAAAUUUGUCUAUUUUAUAUAUAAUUUUAUAAAACUAUUUGUCACUAAAUGAUAUAUUAAACAAUGACACCAAAUUAAUAAAUUAGAGACAUUUUUAUCCAAAGUUAAAUGUAGUUUUUUCCUUUCAAUUUUAUCCUUUGUUGAAACUCUUUCAUUUAUAAUUUUAUCUUUCUUUAUUAAUCUAAAUAAUAAAAUAAUUUUUAAAAAUAUUAAAUGAUUAUAUAAAAGGAUAUUAAGUUUUGAUGCAAUAUUUUAUUUCAAUUUUAAUUUAACCUAUCUUAUCAUACUUUUAUCAUUCUUUAAUAAUAAUAAUCAAAUAAUUGAAUUUUAUAAAUAAUAGUAUAAAAUUUGUAACUUCUAUUUUUAUCAACAAAAGCAGACAAAUGUGCACGUCAAUAUCGUUUGCAUGCUAGUAAAAAAGAAAAGUAAUACAUCUUAUAAUAUUUAAAAAACUUAUAUUUAAAGAAAAAAUAUUUUUCAAUAGAUAUUUAUAUAUAAAGAUAGAGAGAUAAAAACAAUUGAAAACAGUUAAAAGACACUUUACAAAUUGCACAAGUGGGUGUAAAUGUUAUCACCGACAGUUGCUUGAGUUUACCUUCGUAUUUUAGAUAGUCACAGGUUAAUUAGUAAUUUUGAAUAUACAAGAUACGAAAUAGAAGCACAAGUCAUCAUUGGCCAGUUUCAUUAAUUUAUUUUAAAAUGCAAAGUAUUGUGAAUACUGUUCAGCAGAUUCUCAGGACAAUCAAAUAUUUAUUUGAUAUUACGGAAAUUAAAUUUAAAAUUUGUUUAAGGUGUCCCUAUAAUUAAGCAUAACUUCAAGAGUUCAAGUCAACCAUAUAUUUCACAGCGAGAUUCGAAAGCACGUAUGAAAAUGCAUCGUUUAAAAAAGGUAUACACUACCUCUGUCCAUAAAAAUCUCACUGUAAGUUUACCGUACAUAAAAAUUGAAAAUAAAAAUAGUGUAUAAUAAUUUUAUAAAAUUAUCUUCUUUUAUACUCCAUUAUCUUUUUUAUUUUAUUUUUUAUUAUACCAUUAUUUCUAUUAACUGUUAACUGUAACUUAUUAUGAUAAAUGCAUAAUAAAAUAUUCAAUUUAAAAGCUAUACACGUAAUAUUCACUUUGAGGUCAAAUUAAAAUUAUAUAAUUACCUUGUUUAUUGUGGUACAUUUUUCUUUGGCAAAUGUAAUACUUCGUAUAGAGGGAAUGAAAUUUUUUGAAAAGAAAUAAAAUUUAGUCUACGAAAUAUCAUUUUCUAUCGAACUUAGAAUCGAAAAUACAUACAAAUAAUAAAUAACUUAUAAAGUAUAUGUGAAACACCAUAUAGUCUUUAAAAUAUAUAAAAUUUCAUCCGGUUAGUCCCAAAUAUUUUAACAAUGGAAUAGAUUUCAUAUAUUUUAAGGAUUAUAUACUGGUAUUAAAUUCAGGAUUUAUUAUUUUGAGAAUAGCUUCAGCGUUAGAAAUAUAGAAUAAAUAGAUAUGCUCCUUUGGGGAAUAAAAAAUAAUGGCGAUGCAAACAUUUCAACAGUCCUAGCUAUUUUAAUUAUCUGUUCCCAGCCUGCAACUUGGAUCAAAUCUAUUUUCACGCUUGGGUCGCAACCGUUCCACAAUGUUUAGGGUCGUUGCUACAAAUGUCAAAAUAAUGAGUAGUUUAAAUAAUUAAGAUAGCUAACCAGCCAUAUAUUAUUUUAUUACAUAUACUUUUAAUAUAUCAAUAUGUCAGGUUUCCUAGAAAAGGAGUUCAAAGUGAAAGUAAACUUAUCAAGAUACUAACUAGAUUGGAGUUAUAUAUUGGACACAAAUAGAUGAUAGGUGUGAAUUUAAUUCGUAUAUAUUGUCAAUAUACAAAAAUUAUAUAUUAUUAAUUAAUUAUAAUUGUUAAUUUAUUAGAGAUAUUUAAUUUUUAUUGUAAUUAUUUUUAAAGUCAUAUUUAUUAAUGAUUAUAAUAUGAUGAUAUUAUAAAAAGAUUAACAUAAACAAUACAUAACAAUUAGUAGUGUUUUUCUCGUAAUACAUUAGAUUUUCUUAAUAAUGUGUUAUCUACAAUAUACUACUCUAUUUCACGUAUGAUGUGUUAUGUUUUAUCUUAUACAAUGCAUUGUCAAGAAAGUGUAAUAUGAAUUUAAGGUAUUAACUCGUUAUCUUAAUCCGCUAAAAGUGAAUGUGUGUAACAUAGCAAAUUCCAUUAACACCUAAUUUUUAGUGAGACUAAAAAGUGAAUGUCUGUAUGUUAGCAAAUUCCAAAAAGGUGGUGCUGAAUUUUCUUCUCCAAAUUUUGUCAAUUACAUUCAAAGGUGUAACUUACUAAUUUAUACUACAAAAUAAAAUUUUGGGUGAAUCUAAAUUUACAAACUCCUAUAUAUAAUGCUUAUGAAAAAAGUGCAAUCUAAAAAUAACGGAAACAAAAAAAAUCAAACACAAAUAUAAACACAAAAUUAAGUUACUAUUACAGGUAAAUUUAAGCUACUAUCAUAAGUUAUACCAUGGCAUCAGCUACUUACAAACUACUGCAUAGAAAAUUUGGCGCAAGUAAUUGAAACUUAAAAAAAGAGUCACAACAAUUGCUUGAUCUGCUUUACAAAAUGUGUUGAUUAAGCUGAAAAACUAAAUUAAAGUAGAGCAAACAUAAAGAGAACAAAUGUAAAGCAACUCAAAUUUUAUAUUACUUAAGUUUAAAAAAGUUUUAAAAAUAUGGCUCUAAGGAUGAUGACUCUAUUCUUCCAUCCCUCCCGUCUUUCCUGGAUCUAAAUCAGAUUCAUGCAAUUGUAUUAUUAUAUUUGUAAAAUCAUUGUCUUAUAUGUCCAAACACAUAUUUGCACACAUAUAUCCAAGGGAAAAGUAGAGAAAGAAUAUACCAUUUUAGGUAGAGUUAUAAUGAUUAAUUACAUCAAAUCAUACAAAGUUACAUCUAUUUAAAUCAUAUUCUCUCAUAAAAAGUUGUCCGGAUAUAUAGAUACAGAAGUAUAUUAUUCAACUACAUUCACCAAAUAAUAAUCAAUAUCUUCUAUUGAUUAAAAGAUAGACAUUCCAAAACCCUUAAAGAUAUCAUUCAAUCAAUGUUUUAUAAUUAAUAGAAGACCAAUAUUUAUAUAAUUUUCUAACAUUUUAUUGUUAUUUUGGUAGAUUAGCAAAUUACAUUAUUAUUAUCAUGAUAAUAAAUUUAAAUUACGCAAAUAUUAAAUAGAUGUGAGUAACAUGAAAGUUAGAUUAUGAAAUAAUCUUGUGUAAUAUUAGAAAUAACCACCAACCUAAAUAAAGAUUGAGGAUAAAAUUGUAUGACUUACUAAUACAUGAAUUCUGACUUGAAUCCAAGUGCGAGCAUAACAAAUAGUUUUUAACUAAUAUUAGAGAAAGAUUAUAAGAUACACUAAUGUCUUAAAAGGAAAAUACUAACAAGUGUCCUUAUUAAGAAUCUAAAUAUAUAAAAAAAUUAUUAAAAGUGUAUUGGAAGUUGGGUAUUCAAAAUUUUAAAGGUUUUUUUGUUUUUUAAGAAAAAAUUACUACUUUUGAAAUACAAUAUUAGAAACCUAGAAUCAAUAGAUAUAUUUCUUUGCAGAUUAAAAAUAAUUAAGCUAUAUUAAUUUUUUUUUACUGUAUAAGGUAUAUUUUUUUCUUUUCAUUUUUGGCAAACUAAAAUCAAGGUGGUGUCAACAUUUCUAUAUUCCUAACUAUUUGAUUAUGUUCACAGCUCUAUUUGAUUAUGGCCAGCAUCUACCAAAACCAAAUUCACCCUCCAAAACGAUUUGAGUUGCAACCGUUCCAAAAUACUUAGGGUCACAUUGCUCUAAAAGUCAAUAAGAGUGAGUAAUUCAAAGAUGGCCAGCCUUAUAUAAUAAUACGAAUAAAAUCAAGUUUCCUAGAAGGUAAGUCUCAAGAUAGUUAGAGUUAAAAAUCCAACUAUAAAAUGGGGUUGCGCCACAGCAUUCUUCCACAUAAUCACAACCAAAACCAACUUGCAAGAAAACAAAAAUGGGGUCCCUAAUGACCUCUGCUUCUCUCACUCUUGCAUUGGCCAUUCUCUUUUUCAAUUUACCAUCUGAAAUUUCAGCAAACCGUCACGAUUCUUAUUCCUCUCCACCACCACCACUAGUACCAGUCUACUCACCACCACCGUCACCGGUCUACUCACCACCACCAUCACCAAUCUACUCACCACCACCAGUUUACUCACCACCUCCACUAGUCUACUCACCACCACCAGUCUACUCACCACCUCCCCCAAAAUACUCAUCACCUCCACCACCAGUUCACACCUACCCUCAUCCACACCCAGUUUACCAUUCUCCACCACCCCCUGCUCACAAGUAUCCUCACCCUCACCCUGUUUACCACUCUCCACCACCACCAGUUCACAAGUACCCUCAUCCUCACCCUAUUUACCACUCUCCACCACCACCCGUUCACAAGUACCCUCAUCCUCACCCUAUUUACCACUCUCCACCACCACCCGUUCACAAGUACCCUCAUCCUCACCCUGUUUACCACUCUCCACCACCACCAGUUCACAAGUACCCUCAUCCUCACCCUGUUUACCACUCUCCACCACCACCAGUUCACAAGUACCCUCAUCCUCACCCUGUUUACCACUCUCCACCACCACCCGUUCACAAGUACCCUCAUCCUCACCCUAUUUACCACUCUCCACCACCACCGGUCCACAAGUACCCUCAUCCUCAUCCUAUUUACCAUUCUCCCCCACCACCAGUGCACACCUACCCCCCUCACAUUCCUCACCCAGUUUACCAUUCUCCUCCACCACCAUACAAGAAGCCUUAUAAGUACCACUCUCCUCCUCCAGUCCAUUCCCCAC
rnacentral:lncRNA from 1 species